AAAAGAUACCUUGCUAAUUGUACUAGUUUUACUACCAUAAAGACGAUGACAGACAUUCAUAAGACACAUAAAACAACUUGUGCAGUUAUCUUCAACUUUCCUUUCGUACAUUUCUUACAAAAAAUGGGUCUUUUUCUUUCAAAAAUAGUCAAUGCUUUGCUUUUUUAUUUGUAACUAUGGUCAUCUAUGCAGCUCUUUUUGAAUUCUUUCAAUUUCCAAGCCAGCAACAAAUCUUCUGAACCGAUGCAUUGUGGUCUCAUGUACGUGGAAAGGUUGUGCUUUACUAUUUGAUGACAUAACUUUAGUCCAUUUUGUGUGGUUGUCUGGUGAGUGGUUCAAAACCUGAAUCCAGAUCGAAGCAAGCUUUUUGAGCCAAAACAUUCUGGAGCAAUGAAGGUGAUGCUUGUGGUGCAACUUUCACUGGGUGAUGUUUAUUCAAGUGAGCAAUGGAAAUGGUCUAGAAGCAACCAAAAAUCAUUACCCCUCUAAUUCUGACACACUAUCAUGGAAUCUCUUGAGCAGUAACACAUUUCUCCCUAUUUCAGUUAGCUUUUUAAUAGAUCUUUUCCUUUUUAGUGAUGGGAACAAUUAUGCAUUUAUAACCAAAUAAGGAAAAAUAUACCCCACUGGAAGUAGUUGGAAAAGCAGCAGGGAUAAUAAAAAAUCGCAAAACGUUGAAUGAUUUCCAGUAGUAUUAUGACAUGAACGUGCAUAACUUCAAAAUUAAGAUGUUAGGGACUAGGUUUAAGAAAUAAUUUCACUUUUAUUAUUUUUUUGCCAUUAAUUCACUUGAGAAGCCAUCAGUGGUUCCUAAUUAUGCCCAUGUUGUUCUUAUUCUGACAGUAACAAAAAUACGCUAGAUAAGUUCUGCUACAUUGAUGAGUUAUGACUUAUGAUGCUUCAUUUAGACAAAGCACAGCGAAAAGAGCAGAGCCUAAAAACAAAGUUUGUUGUGUGAUAUGGAUGGCAUCACUAUUUUGUAGCUGCUUUCACACACUAUCACUGGCAGUGAGUUAUGAAUUGCCGUGGACUGAUAUUCGUCAUCCUUCAUGUGCUGGCUCCAGGACAAUUCUUGCCCGGGUUAUAAUGCCAAAUUGGCCAAGCCCCCCAAGAACGCUGUGAAAGAGAUCCCCAUUAUUCUCUGCGGAACAGUUCACCACCUCCCCUGUUCCUGCAUCCAUUCAUUGACCAUGCUUACUCAUCAAACUGAACAUUACUUAUUUGGGGACCAUGCCUAAAUGCCUGGCCACUGACACCAGCGUUGGAGAGAGUGCCUCCAACUGUCAGAUGCAGGUAGUCUGUCCACGAUCUUGGCGCCAAC